rnacentral:SRP_RNA from 1 species
UGCCGAGCUUAGUAAUGUGGGCUUGUAACCCAAAUGGGGGCAUUAAUGUGGUGGAAUGUUGGGCUGUACCAGAUGGUUGGGCUUGGUGGGCUAAUUUCUGACUUGCCCUAUCCAAGCUUAGAGUUGGAUCAUGUGGCCCAAUUGAAGAAAUGGACUACUUGAUUCGUAAAGUGGGGCGGAAUGCGUGAGGCUGGUUUCACAGAGCAACGAUAAGUUUCCGCUCUAAGCGGUGGAAGGAUAACGAGUCGGUGUUCUCUGAGUCCAUUAACGCCUGAUGGGCUGCUCCAACUAAACCACCACUUUUUUUGCAGAGCAUAUAUUAUUUUGGCU